rnacentral:rRNA from 11 species
AAAACUUUCUUUAGUGACUCUAAAGGCACCCAUUCCUAUUUGAUUUUGGAAGCUAAACAGAGUCAAUCCUGGUUUAGUACUUGGAUGAGAGACUGCCAAUGAAUAAUACGUGCUGUAAGUUAUA